rnacentral:rRNA from 1 species
AGCUACAGGCUUAACACAUGCAAGUCGAGGGGCAGCGGGAGCAAAGCUUGCUUUGCUUGCCGGCGACCGGCGCACGGGUGCGUAACGCGUAUGCAACCUACCCAAUGCUGGCGGAUAGCCCGGAGAAAUCCGGAUUAAGCCGUCAUGAGGAGCCUGUGGGGCAUCCCACGGGUUUCAAAUAUUCAUAGGCGUUGGAUGGGCAUGCGUGCUAUUAGAUAGUUGGCGGGGUAACGGCCCACCAAGUCGACGAUAGCUAGGGGAUCUGAGAGGACGGUCCCCCACACUGGUACUGAGACACGGACCAGACUCCUACGGGAGGCAGCAGUAAGGAAUAUUGGGCAAUGGGGGGAACCCUGACCCAGCCAUGCCGCGUGAAGGAUGGAGGCCCUACGGGUCGUAAACUUCUUUUGUCAGGGGAUAACAGACAGUACGCGUACUGUUUUGAAGGUACCUGAAGAAUAAGCAUCGGCUAACUCCGUGCCAGCAGCCGCGGUAAUACGGAGGAUGCGAGCGUUAUCCGGAUUUAUUGGGUUUAAAGGGUGCGUAGGCGGAAUGUUAAGUCAGCGGUGAAAGUUCCCGGCUCAACCGGGUCAGUGCCGUUGAUACUGAUGUUCUUGAAUGCGGUCAAGGUUGGCGGAAUGUGGUGUGUAGCGGUGAAAUGCAUAGAUAUGCCACAGAACUCCGAUAGCGAAGGCAGCUGACCGGACCUGCAUUGACGUUGAGGCUCGAAAGUGUGGGUAUCAAACAGGAUUAGAUACCCUGGUAGUCCACACGGUAAACGAUGAAUACUCGCUGUUGGCGAUAGACUGUCAGCGGCCAAGCGAAAGCAUUAAGUAUUCCACCUGGGGAGUACGCCGGCAACGGUGAAACUCAAAGGAAUUGACGGGGGCCCGCACAAGCGGAGGAACAUGUGGUUUAAUUCGAUGAUACGCGAGGAACCUUACCCGGGCUUAAAUUGCAGAGGACAGGCGCAGAGAUGUGCUCUUCUUCGGACCUCUGUGAAGGUGCUGCAUGGUUGUCGUCAGCUCGUGCCGUGAGGUGUCGGCUUAAGUGCCAUAACGAGCGCAACCCUUGCCGGUAGUUACCAUCAGGUUAUGCUGGGGACUCUACCGGGACUGCCAUCGUAAGAUGUGAGGAAGGUGGGGAUGACGUCAAAUCAGCACGGCCCUUACGUCCGGGGCUACACACGUGUUACAAUGGGAGGUACAGAAGGCUGCUACCCGGCGACGGGAUGCCAAUCCACAAAACCUCUCUCAGUUCGGAUUGGAGUCUGCAACCCGACUCCAUGAAGCUGGAUUCGCUAGUAAUCGCGCAUCAGCCACGGCGCGGUGAAUACGUUCCCGGGC